rnacentral:lncRNA from 1 species
GUGGUUGUCGUUUGUUUAUGUGUUACAUAUUUGUUUUUCGUUCAUUUUUUUUUUUUUUUUUUUUAAAUAAGGCCGUUAGUUUUCUCGUUUGAAUUGUUUUACAUUGUCUUAUCGGGGCCUUUUAUAGCUGACUAUGCGGUAUGGGCUUUGGUCAUUGUUGAAGGCCGUACAGUGACCUAUAGUUGUUAAUGUCUGUGUCAUUUUGGUCUUUUGUGGAUAGUUGUCUCAUUGGCAAUCAUACCACAUCUUCUUUUUUAUAUGAAUCCAAAAGCCUGCCAUGAACUCAGGUUCUCUGGAA